rnacentral:rRNA from 1 species
UAGGGAAUCUUCGGCAAUGGGGGCAACCCUGACCGAGCAACGCCGCGUGAGUGAAGAAGGUUUUCGGAUCGUAAAGCUCUGUUGUAAGUCAAGAACGAGUGUGAGAGUGGAAAGUUCACACUGUGACGGUAGCUUACCAGAAAGGGACGGCUACCUACGUGCCAGCAGCCGCGGUAAUACGUAGGUCCCGAGCGUUGUCCGGAUUUAUUGGGCGUAAAGCGAGCGCAGGCGGUUUGAUAAGUCUGAAGUUAAAGGCUGUGGCUCAACCAUAGUUCGCUUUGGAAACUGUCAAACUUGAGUGCAGAAGGGGAGAGUGGAAUUCCAUGUGUAGCGGUGAAAUGCGUAGAUAUAUGGAGGAACACCGGUGGCGAAAGCGGCUCUCUGGUCUGUAACUGACGCUGAGGCUCGAAAGCGUGGGGAGCGAACAGGAUUAGAUACCCUGGUAGUCCACGCCGUAAACGAUGAGUGCUAGGUGUUGGAUCCUUUCCGGGAUUCAGUGCCGCAGCUAACGCAUUAAGCACUCCGCCUGGGGAGUACGACCGCAAGGUUG